GCCGUGAUUAUAUAAAUGAAAGCACAUGUUAGACUCCUAACAAGGGUGAGGUGAACUGGAAUAUGAGC
rfam:Fukomys damarensis contig91520, whole genome shotgun sequence.